GUUGAUUUUUAAAAUUUACCAUGUCAACUCAUUAAAUAGAAACAAGAAAAAUAUGGUAUGAUUGCCAAUGAGACAACUACCCACCAGAACUCAAAUGAAGUGGAUGCAAGCAAUUAAAGGUAACCAUAGAGCCUUCAACAAUGAGCAAAACUCAUAUUAUAUAGGCAGCUAUAAAGCCUCAACACGGAAAAUGUGAAUCACUCCAAAAAAGAAAACGAACACUAUUAAAUUUAUAUCAAAAUAAUUUAUGUAGUUUACAACUAUGAUUCAACGACAACCACUGAUCUACUGGCUAAUUACUUAUACUUAGGACAGACCUAUAAAUAAUGUGGCUGGAGUUAAACAUGUUUGUGAGCACCCAACCCUCCCUUAACCUCGGACAGUGGUGUCACAGCACAACAUAUUGCAACCAGAUUCUCCGCAGGGCGCAGCUUUAUACGACCACAGAUGUCUAAUGAAU
rnacentral:lncRNA from 1 species